AUUGAACGCUGGCGGCAUGCUUUACACAUGCAAGUCGGACGGCAGCACAGAGAAGCUUGCUUCUUGGGUGGCGAGUGGCGAACGGGUGAGUAAUAUAUCGGAACGUACCGAGUAAUGGGGGAUAACUAAUCGAAAGAUUAGCUAAUACCGCAUAUUCUUGAGGAGGAAAGCAGGGGACCUUCGGGCCUUGCGUUAUUUGAGCGGCCGAUAUCUGAUUAGCUAGUUGGUGGGGUAAAGGCCUACCAAGGCGACGAUCAGUAGCGGGUCUGAGAGGAUGAUCCGCCACACUGGGACUGAGACACGGCCCAGACUCCUACGGGAGGCAGCAGUGGGGAAUUUUGGACAAUGGGCGCAAGCCUGAUCCAGCCAUGCCGCGUGUCUGAAGAAGGCCUUCGGGUUGUAAAGGACUUUUGUCAGGGAAGAAAAGGACAGGGUUAAUACCCCCUGUCUGAUGACGGUACCUGAAAGAUAAAGCCCC
rnacentral:rRNA from 1 species